GUUCCCAAGCAAAUUACGCAUAUAUUGUAUAAAAUGUCAAAUCCAAACACAAGAAAGUCAUGUGCUGUGCCUCUAUGUAAAAGCACAACCGUUAAUGCACCGGAAAAGUUAUUUUUUGUGGUACCAAUGGAUUUUCAAAUGCGACAGAAAUGGAUAAAAGCUAUGAAAAGAUUGUAUCCAUUUGGAGCCAAAAGCAAAGUAUUUUGCUGUGAAGAUCAUUUUGACAUUGAGAAUGAUAUGGAGAACUAUAUUAAAUAUAAACUAGUUGGGGGAAGAAUUAAACUUAAAAAAGGCAUACUUCCUCACAAAUUUAAAUGUCAACAAGAAUGUAAUGAUAAACCCAAAAAAUCUGCAGUAAAAAAACCUAAUGAAAUAAAAUAUUUUGAAGAAAUCUUAUGUAAUGACGUAGAAGCCAUUCCUUCGACAUCAGAUGCACCGAAAAAACCUGAAGAAGUAUUUGUUGCUUGUUAUGAAGAUGACACAGUAAUGGAAGAUCCAUAAUGUUUAAAUUAAGAAAAUAACUAUCAAUAUUUGUGAAUUUAAAAAAGGCAGUGCAUGUAAAACUUAAAAGUAAAGUUGUUCAUAAUACGCAACUACUAAAGAAAAAUAAGAAAGACAGGAAAACAAUAUAUUCUGUAAAAGCAGACGCGGUAUCAGUGUGUGUGUAAAUAGUGCUUAGACUAUUUUAUUUAAUAUAAGUUCAAUUUGUUGAUAAGAAUACGUAAAAAAUAAUUAUCAUAUUGUAAGUGUUAAAUAAGUUACGGUAAGUUUUGACAUUUAAGGCUCCGUAUGAGAUUAUUUAAAUUUCCCUGUACUGACCUUUUUUAAUAAAUAAAAUAAAAUAAAAUAGA